UACGUAGGGUGCGAGCGUUAAUCGGAAUUACUGGGCGUAAAGCGUGCGCAGGCGGCUUCGCAAGUCAGGCGUGAAAUCCCCGGGCUUAACCUGGGAAUUGCAUUUGUGACUGCACGGCUAGAGUGUGUCAGAGGGGGGUAGAAUUCCACGUGUAGCAGUGAAAUGCGUAGAUAUGUGGAGGAAUACCGAUGGCGAAGGCAGCCCCCUGGGAUAACACUGACGCUCAUGCACGAAAGCGUGGGGAGCAAACAGG
rnacentral:rRNA from 1 species